rnacentral:rRNA from 7 species
UUGACCUCGAAUCAGGUAGGGAUACCCGCUGAACUUAAGCAUAUCAAUAAGCGGAGGAAA